rnacentral:rRNA from 1 species
UACAGGGGGUGCAAACGUUGCUCGGAAUCAUUGGGCGUAAAGCGCACGUAGGCGGUCUGUUAUGUCGGAUGUGAAAGCCCUUGGCUCAACUGAGGAAGUGCAUCCGAAACUGGCAGGCUAGAGUACUAAAGAGGAUCGCGGAAUUCCCGGUGUAGAGGUGAAAUUCGUAGAUAUCGGGAGGAACACCUGUGGCGAAAGCGGCGCACUGGACCAUAACUGACGCUGAGGCGCGAAAGCUAGGGGAGCAAACAGG